rnacentral:rRNA from 1 species
AUUGAACGCUGGCGGAAUGCUUUACACAUGCAAGUCGAGCGGCAGCGCGGGGGCAACCCUGGCGGCGAGCGGCGAACGGGUGAGUAACACAUCGGAACGUACCCAGUUGUGGGGGAUAGCCCGGCGAAAGCCGGAUUAAUACCGCAUACGACCUGAGGGUGAAAGGGGGGGGUCGCAAGACCUCUCGCAGUUGGAGCGGCCGAUGGCGGUUUAGCUAGUUGGUGAGGUAAAGGCUCACCAAGGCGACGAUCCGUAGCUGGUCUGAGAGGACGACCAGCCACACUGGAACUUAGACACGGUCCAGACUCCUACGGGAGGCAGCAGUGGGGAAUUUUGCGCAAUGGGCGAAAGCCUGACGCAGCGACGCCGCGUGGGUGAUGAAGGCCUUCGGGUUGUAAAGCCCUGUGGGGAGGGAAGAAUAAGGUAUGGCUAAUACGAGAGGCUAAUGACGGUACCGCAAGAAUAAGCACCGGCUAACUACGUGCCAGCCGCCGCAGUAACAC